GACGAACGCUGGCGGCGUGCUUAACACAUGCAAGUCGAACGGAAAGGCCCUGCUUUUUGGGUGUGCUCGAGUCGCAAGCGUGAGUGACACGUGAGUGAAACCCGCCUUAGACUGGGAUAAGACUUGAGGAAAGGGGGUAUUAUAGCGGAGAAGCGCUCAUGGCACGUGGUGGGUGUGAAAGAUUUACGGCGGUUGGGGAGGGACGCGCGGCUUAUCAGCUUUGUGGUGGGGUAGUGGCUUACCAAGGCUGUGACGGGUAGCCGGCCUGAGAGGGUGACCGGCCACAUUGGGACUGAGAUACGGCCCAGACUCCUACGGGAGGCAGCAGUGGGGAAUAUUGCACAAUGGGCGGAAGCCUGAUGCAGCGACGCCGCGUGCGGGAUGACGGCCUUCGGGUUGUAAACCGCUUUCGCUAGUGAAGAAGCGAGAGUGACGGUAAUUGGUAAAGAAGCACCGGCUAACUACGUG
rnacentral:rRNA from 1 species